UUCUGCCAAAGGGCGAUGGCUGGUUGGCUACGUUCGGGAGGGAUAACCGCUGAAAGCAUCUAAGCGGGAAGCCUGCUUCGAGAUGAGGACUCCCACCUCCUAGAGAGGGUAAGGCGUCCCAGUAGACGACUGGGUUGAUAGGCCGGAUAUGGAAGCACGGUAACGUGUGGAGUUGACCGGUACUAAUAGGCCGAGGGCUUGUCCUC
rnacentral:ncRNA from 1 species